UACGGGGGGGGCAAGCGUUGUUCGGAAUUACUGGGCGUAAAGGGCUCGUAGGCGGCCAACUAAGUCAGACGUGAAAUCCCCAGGCUCAACCUGGGAACUGCGUCUGAUACUGGUUGGCUUGAAUUCGGGAGAGGGAUGCAGAAUUCCAGGUGUAGCGGUGAAAUGCGUAGAUAUCUGGAGGAAUACCGGUGGCGAAGGCGGCAUCCUGGACCAACACUGACGCUGAGACGCGAAAGCAUGGGGAGCGAACAGG
rnacentral:rRNA from 1 species